UACGUAGGGUGCGAGCGUUAAUCGGAUUUACUGGGCGUAAAGAGCGCGCAGGCGGUCGUCCAAGUCGCGUGUGAAAGCCCCCGGCUCAACUGGGGAGGGUCACGCGAUACUGGUCGACUCGAAGGCAGGAGAGGGUAGUGGAAUUCCCGGUGUAGUGGUGAAAUGCGUAGAUAUCGGGAGGAACACCAGUGGCGAAGGCGACUACCUGGCCUGUUCUUGACGCUGAGGCGCGAAAGCUAGGGGAGCAAACGGG
rnacentral:rRNA from 1 species